rnacentral:lncRNA from 1 species
CCUUCAAAACUCUAUACGAGCGCAGCACAAAUUUUCGUGUUUAAGCAUGGGACUUAACGAUACAAAUGCAGAUUCAAUGGUCACGUUCAGAAUUAAGAUGGAGAAGAGGCAAAUAUUCUUGAGAAGCUACAAGUUCAGUAGGAAGCAAACUGUCAGAGAGCGGUUUAAUAAAUUUCCCAUUAAAGUGAAAAGGGUUAUAUGCAGGAGGCUUAGAUCAGCAAGAAAUUUGAAGAAGAUGCAGGAUUUCAAACUUAGAAACGGGCGGUUUUUCGCGAGGAUAAGAAAGUUUUUUCAUUGCCUGCGUAACUACAAGAGUUGCUCUACGUCCAAUGAUGUUUAUUAUCCAC